rnacentral:tRNA from 1 species
GGGGUGCUGGCGCAGUGGUAGCGCACCUGAUUUCUGCUCCUACUUGAUUGGAUUCAUUCAAUUCGAGAGGUGGUUCAACUGGGGGUCAGUCAAGAAUAAAAAUCUCUGGCCACGCACGUUCUACUCGCAAAAUGCCUGUUCAACGUUGUACGGCUUUAGACAACAGUUCUCAAAGUAAACCAGGAUAAUUCAGGAGGUCAUCGGUUCGAAUCCGAUGCACCCCG